rnacentral:rRNA from 1 species
UACGGAGGGGGCGAGCGUUGUCCGAAUUUACUGGGCGUAAAGAGCGCGUAGGCGGGAUGGUAAGUCUGUUGUGAAAGCCCGUUGCUUAACGACGGAGGGUCGAUGGAUACUGCCAUUCUUGAAGGUGCUAGGGGGAGAUGGAAUUACAGGUGUAGCGGUGAAAUGCGUAGAUAUCUGUAGGAACACCAGUGGCGAAGGCGAUCUCCUGGGGCAUUCUUGACGCUGAGGCGCGAAAGCUGGGGGAGCAAACGGG